rnacentral:rRNA from 1 species
AUUGAACGCUGGCGGCAUGCUUUACACAUGCAAGUCGAACGGUAGAGGGGGCAACCCCUUGAGAGUGGCGAACGGGUGAGUAAUGCAUCGGAACGUGCCCAGUCGUGGGGGAUAACGCAGCGAAAGCUGUGCUAAUACCGCAUACGAUCUCUGGAUGAAAGCGGGGGACCGAAAGGCCUCGCGCGAUUGGAGCGGCCGAUGUCAGAUUAGGUAGUUGGUGGGGUAAAGGCUCACCAAGCCAACGAUCUGUAGCUGGUCUGAGAGGACGACCAGCCACACUGGGACUGAGACACGGCCCAGACUCCUACGGGAGGCAGCAGUGGGGAAUUUUGGACAAUGGGCGCAAGCCUGAUCCAGCAGUGCGGCGUGCAGGAAGAAGGCCUUCGGGUUGUAAACUGCUUUUGUACGGAACGAAAAGGUCUGGGUUAAUACCCUGGGCACAUGACGGUACAGUAAGAAUAAGCACCGGCUAACUACGUGCCAGCAGCCGCCGCAG